rnacentral:rRNA from 1 species
AUUGAACGCUGGCGGCAGGCUUAACACAUGCAAGUCGAACGAGUGGCGGACGGGUGAGUAAUGUCUGGGAAUCUAGCUUAUGGAGGGGGAUAACUACGGGAAACUGUAGCUAAUACCGCGUACCAUAGGAUGAGCCCAAGUGGGGUUGGGUAGUUGGUGAGGUAAAGGCUCACCAAGCCGACGAUCGCUAGCUGGUCUGAGAGGAUGACCAGCCACACUGGGACUGGAGCACGGCCCAGGCUCCUGCGGGAGGCAGCAGUGGGGAAUCUUGCGCAAUGGGGGCAACCUGACGCAGCCAUGCCGCGUGAAUGAAGGAGGCCUUCGGGUUGUAAAGUUCUUUCGGUAGCGAGGCGUUGACUACAGGAGGAGCACCGGCUAACUCCGUGCCAACAGCCGCGGUAAUUC